UUUCUCCUCAUUUCCGUUACCCAAGCACCGGAGAAUCCCCCCUACCCUCUCUGCGGCUGACGACGACGCAGAGGCCGGCACCACCGACUACGACAUGGAUGAGGAGGAUGUCGAGGAGCUGGAUAACAAGAAGGACUAUGACAUCGAAUACGACAAGAUACUCGGUGUCACGCCCAUUUCCCCCUCCGCCGACUCGCCAGACGACAUCGAGAUGGUCGCCGUCGAGAGCUUCGUGUCCACACAAGGGUGGGAGUCCGAGACCGUCGUUGACUACCGUAUCAACUAGGAGGAGUUCCAAAAGAUCCGCCUCUUUCACUGCGACUUCUUUAUUCGAAAGUCGCCCGACCCCGUUGACAACGUCUACGAUUUUUGAGAGGCAUCGUCUCUUCUAUCUUUAUGUCUCUGGUAGGUCAUGAUGCCCUGUUCCUCCCCUUUCUGACGUGAUUUUCUUUGUGGCUUUUCAACAAGCAUAUGUAUGUUACUCCUCCUGACACGGAUGUCUACUCAAUUCUGAAGGUUUUGGCUCCCAUGCCUCAGAAGUACAUUCGGUGUGCAAAAUCAAACUUUGGAAGCUACAAUGUCACGGAGCCGGAGCCGCCCAUAGACGCACCUAGAGAUCCACUGUACAAAACUGAGAGGGAAAUUAUGAAGGGUUGUCUCACGAGCUGACUUUAGCUUGAUGGUGAAAGAUACAUCUAUACUGGAAAUGGAAAGAAGGAUAAAGUCAAGUCGAUUGGUGUUUUUAAGAUUUAUUUAGGAACCAAUAUUUUUC